UACGUAGGGUGCAAGCGUUGUCCGGAAUUAUUGGGCGUAAAGAGCUCGUAGGCGGUCUGUCGCGUCGAAUGUGAAAACCCGGGGCUCAACCCCGGGCCUGCAUUCGAUACGGGCAGACUAGAGUUCGGUAGGGGAGUCUGGAAUUCCUGGUGUAGCGGUGGAAUGCGCAGAUAUCAGGAGGAACACCGAUGGCGAAGGCAGAUCUCUGGGCCGUAACUGACGCUGAGGAGCGAAAGCAUGGGGAGCGAACAGG
rnacentral:rRNA from 1 species